rnacentral:rRNA from 1 species
UACGAAGGGGGCGAGCGUUGUUCGGAUUUACUGGGCGUAAAGGGCGCGUAGGCGGUCAGCACAAGUCAGUUGUGAAAUCUCCGGGCUUAACUCGGAAAGGUCAACUGAUACUGUGCGACUAGAGUGCAGAAGGGGCAACUGGAAUUCUCGGUGUAGCGGUGAAAUGCGUAGAUAUCGAGAGGAACACCUGCGGCGAAGGCGGGUUGCUGGGCUGACACUGACGCUGAGGCGCGAAAGCCAGGGGAGCGAACGGG